rnacentral:rRNA from 1 species
GAGUUUGAUCUUGGCUCAGAGUGAACGCUGGCGGCAGGCCUAACACAUGCAAGUCGAGCGGCAGCGCGGGGGCAACCCUGGCGGCGAGCGGCGGACGGGUGAGGAAUACAUCGGAAUCUACCCAGUCGUGGGGGAUAACGUAGGGAAACUUACGCUAAUACCGCAUACGACCUGAGGGUGAAAGCAGGGGACCGCAAGGCCUUGCGCGAUUGGAUGAGCCGAUGUCCGAUUAGCUAGUUGGUGAGGUAAAGGCUCACCAAGGCGACGAUCGGUAGCUGGUCUGAGAGGAUGAUCAGCCACACUGGAACUGAGACACGGUCCAGACUCCUACGGGAGGCAGCAGUGGGGAAUAUUGGACAAUGGGCGCAAGCCUGAUCCAGCCAUGCCGCGUGUGUGAAGAAGGCCUUCGGUUGUAAG